AGACCAUGAUGUGGGCAGUCUCUCAACAUUCCUUUAAAUCUAUCUCAUGCUUCAUAAAGAGAUUCAGAAUCUGUUUGCUUGAAGUUUGUAAUAAGGUUACGAAGGUGU